rnacentral:sRNA from 30 species
AUAGAGCGAGGACGCUAACAGGAACAAUGACUCAGGAUGAGGGUCAGGAGCGCCAGGAGGCGAAGACAGAGGAUUGUCAGGAAGACAAACGUCCGGAGACGUAAUUAAACGGAAAUGGAAUCAACACGGAUUGUUCCGGCUAAUGGAAAAACAGGGUGUGUUGGCGGCCUGCAAGGAUUGUAAGACCCGUUAAGGGUUAUGAGUCAGGAAAAAAGGCGACAGAGUAAUCUGUCGCCUUUUUUCUUUGCUUGCUU